rnacentral:tRNA from 1 species
GGCUCUGUAGUGAAAUUCAUAGUGAGUUGCAAGCUCAUUGAUGUGCAUUGGAUAUGCGCCGGAGCCU